GGUUAAUUCGAAGCAACGCGAAGACCUUACCAGGGCUUGACAUCCCUUGGAAGUCAGCUAGAGAUAGCUGUGUCCUUCGGGACAAGGAGACGAGGUGGUGCAUGGUUGUCGUCAGCUCGUGUCGUGAGAUGUUGGGUUAAGUCCCGCAACGAGCGCAACCCCUAUUGUUAGUUGCCAUCAUUCAGUUGGGCACUCUAGCGAGACUGCCGGUAAUAAACCGGAGGAAGGUGGGGAUGACGUCAAAUCAUCAUGCCCCUUAUGACCUGGGCUACACACGUGCUACAAUGGUUGGUACAACGAGUUGCGAGUCGGUGACGGCGAGCUAAUCUCUUAAAGCCAAUCUCAGUUCGGAUUGUAGGCUGCAACUCGCCUACAUGAAGUCGGAAUCGCUAGUAAUCGCGGAUCAGCACGCCGCGGUGAAUACGUUCCCGGGCCUU
rnacentral:rRNA from 1 species